rnacentral:rRNA from 1 species
CUGUGAGCUCGAUGAGUAGGGCGGGACACGUGGUAUCCUGUCUGAAUAUGGGGGGACCAUCCUCCAAGGCUAAAUACUCCUGACUGACCGAUAGUGAACCAGUACCGUGAGGGAAAGGCGAAAAGAACCCCGGCGAGGGGAGUGAAAAAGAACCUGAAACCGUGUACGUACAAGCAGUGGGAGCACGCUUAGGCGUGUGACUGCGUACCUUUUGUAUAAUGGGUCAGCGACUUAUAUUCUGUAGCAAGGUUAACCGAAUAGGGGAGCCGAAGGGAAACCGAGUCUUAACUGGGCGUUAAGUUGCAGGGUAUAGACCCGAAACCCGGUGAUCUAGCCAUGGGCAGGUUGAAGGUUGGGUAACACUAACUGGAGGACCGAACCGACUAAUGUUGAAAAAUUAGCGGAUGACUUGUGGCUGGGGGUGAAAGGCCAAUCAAACCGGGAGAUAGCUGGUUCUCCCCGAAAGCUAUUUAGGUAGCGCCUCGUGAAUUCAUCUCCGGGGGUAGAGCACUGUUUCGGCAAGGGGGUCAUCCCGACUUACCAACCCGAUGCAAACUGCGAAUACCGGAGAAUGUUAUCACGGGAGACACACGGCGGGUGCUAACGUCCGUCGUGAAGAGGGAAACAACCCAGACCGCCAGCUAAGGUCCCAAAGUCAUGGUUAAGUGGGAAACGAUGUGGGAAGGCCCAGACAGCCAGGAUGUUGGCUUAGAAGCAGCCAUCAUUUAAAGAAAGCGUAAUAGCUCACUGGUCGAGUCGGCCUGCGCGGAAGAUGUAACGGGGCUAAACCAUGCACCGAAGCUGCGGCAGCGACGCUUAUGCGUUGUUGGGUAGGGGAGCGUUCUGUAAGCCUGCGAAGGUGUGCUGUGAGGCAUGCUGGAGGUAUCAGAAGUGCGAAUGCUGACAUAAGUAACGAUAAAGCGGGUGAAAAGCCCGCUCGCCGGAAGACCAAGGGUUCCUGUCCAACGUUAAUCGGGGCAGGGUGAGUCGACUCCUAAGGCGAGGCCGAAAGGCGUAGUCGAUGGGAAACAGGUUAAUAUUCCUGUACUUGGUGUUACUGCGAAGGGGGGACGGAGAAGGCUAUGUUGGCCGGGCGACGGUUGUCCCGGUUUAAGCGUGUAGGCUGGUUUUCCAGGCAAAUCCGGAAAAUCAAGGCUGAGGCGUGAUGACGAGGCACUACGGUGCUGAAGCAACAAAUGCCCUGCUUCCAGGAAAAGCCUCUAAGCAUCAGGUAACAUCAAAUCGUACCCCAAACCGACACAGGUGGUCAGGUAGAGAAUACCAAGGCGCUUGAGAGAACUCGGGUGAAGGAACUAGGCAAAAUGGUGCCGUAACUUCGGGAGAAGGCACGCUGAUAUGUAGGUGAAGUCCCUCGCGGAUGGAGCUGAAAUCAGUCGAAGAUACCAGCUGGCUGCAACUGUUUAUUAAAAACACAGCACUGUGCAAACACGAAAGUGGACGUAUACGGUGUGACGCCUGCCCGGUGCCGGAAGGUUAAUUGAUGGGGUCAGCGCAAGCGAAGCUCUUGAUCGAAGCCCCGGUAAACGGCGGCCGUAACUAUAACGGUCCUAAGGUAGCGAAAUUCCUUGUCGGGUAAGUUCCGACCUGCACGAAUGGCGUAAUGAUGGCCAGGCUGUCUCCACCCGAGACUCAGUGAAAUUGAACUCGCUGUGAAGAUGCAGUGUACCCGCGGCAAGACGGAAAGACCCCGUGAACCUUUACUAUAGCUUGACACUGAACAUUGAGCCUUGAUGUGUAGGAUAGGUGGGAGGCUUUGAAGUGUGGACGCCAGUCUGCAUGGAGCCGACCUUGAAAUACCACCCUUUAAUGUUUGAUGUUCUAACGUUGACCCGUAAUCCGGGUUGCGGACAGUGUCUGGUGGGUAGUUUGACUGGGGCGGUCUCCUCCUAAAGAGUAACGGAGGAGCACGAAGGUUGGCUAAUCCUGGUCGGACAUCAGGAGGUUAGUGCAAUGGCAUAAGCCAGCUUGACUGCGAGCGUGACGGCGCGAGCAGGUGCGAAAGCAGGUCAUAGUGAUCCGGUGGUUCUGAAUGGAAGGGCCAUCGCUCAACGGAUAAAAGGUACUCCGGGGAUAACAGGCUGAUACCGCCCAAGAGUUCAUAUCGACGGCGGUGUUUGGCACCUCGAUGUCGGCUCAUCACAUCCUGGGGCUGAAGUAGGUCCCAAGGGUAUGGCUGUUCGCCAUUUAAAGUGGUACGCGAGCUGGGUUUAGAACGUCGUGAGACAGUUCGGUCCCUAUCUGCCGUGGGCGCUGGAGAACUGAGGGGGGCUGCUCCUAGUACGAGAGGACCGGAGUGGACGCAUCACUGGUGUUCGGGUUGUCAUGCCAAUGGCACUGCCCGGUAGCUAAAUGCGGAAGAGAUAAGUGCUGAAAGCAUCUAAGCACGAAACUUGCCCCGAGAUGAGUUCUCCCUGACUCCUUGAGAGUCCUGAAGGAACGUUGAAGACGACGACGUUGAUAGGCCGGGUGUGUAAGCGCAGCGAUGCGUUGAGCUAACCGGUACUAAUGAACCGUGAGGCUUAACCUU